rnacentral:misc_RNA from 1 species
AGACGAGUCGAACUGUUCGUUGGUUCGCUGCACUUCCCCCCCCCCCCCUCUCUUUGAGGAAGAGUCACCACUGCAAGAUCGCAUUGCUCAUCUCGCGAGGCCCACUGCUCUUGCCGACCCUCUCCUCGCUCCACGCUGGUAUAACCGUUCUCCAGCAACUGUCACCACCGUCGCACGAAUCGGUUAACCGAAGAGAACAGCAGAGUAACGGGUCAGUGCCUCCAUCCACUGCCUGCGCCGCGCCUUCCUCUUCUCCACAACACGUACGCCACAAUCGGCACACACUGUAGGCAACAAAGAAAAAAAAACAUUUUAAAGCGGUGUCGCCGCCCUCGCAAUGAUCGGUGGGGAAUACAAGAAGGAGCGGUUCAGCGAGCGCCUGACCAUGGCGCAGAACCAGCCCAAGAACCGCGGCUACCUGCCUGGGACACAUCUCAAGACGGGCGGCUAUGGCACCGGCACGCUGAUGGGCAACUGGAGUGAGGAGCGCUUCGACGCGGGGUACUACGACGGCAAGGCAGUUGUCGCGUCCAGUCUACGCCCGGUGUGGAGCACUGCGUACCGUGAGAUGGUGCAGAACGUCACGGCGCCUCCCGGCUUCGGUGCCUCCGCGUCCGCCGCUGGCAGCAGCAGCUGCGCGAGAGCCGGUCGCACACCCGCGGUCACCACGUGCGAUCGCACACAGUUCUCUCAGCAGACGUUUAUGGUCAUCGAGGACCGCACGGGGAGAUCUUACCCGUCCCACCAGCCCCAACUUGACCCUACGUGGCAGGAAGCCGUGCAGAGCAGCCACCAUAGCACUUUCCAGUCCUCCUACAUCCGCCCCGACGUGCGGCGGCAGGAGGCAAAGGCGUACGUGCCGCCGGUGCUGGGUGGCAAGCCGUCAUCGCAGUCCACCGGCGUCCUGCUGCGCCUUCGCCGGCAGCUAGAGCUGGCACAGGAGUCGCUGGACGGCCCCGCCGGUACGUGCACGGUCGUCUCCGCCUUUCCGGGCAACGUAAUCCGCUCCGUCCGCAAGGCGUUGGCCAAAGCCUGCACUGACCCCAACGGCAACGUUAACACUGACGAGCUGCAGGAAGGCUUCGCCGCGGCCGGUGUGACCGCAGCCCCGGCUGAGUGCGUGGCGCUGUUGCGCUACUUUGACCAUGAGGGCCAUCUCACGGCGCCGUACGUGUCGAUCGUCGAAGCCGUUCGAGGAGAGAUGAACGGCCGCCGUGCCGACCUUGUCGAAAGCGUCUACGGCCUGCUGCGCUCCUUCAGCCCUGACGGUGUUGUCCGCCUUGACAAGCUGGUUGAGUGGGUUGACGUGGAACAGCUGCCGGCAGUACAGUCGGGCUCCGUGAGCGCGGACGCGGCGCGCGCCGCCUUCGCUGCCCAGUGGGAUGCCCGCACGCCAACAGCGCACAUCACGCAGGCCCGCUUCGCCGACUUCUUUGCCGACGCGUCCUUCGAGAUUCCACUGGACAACACGUUUGAGCUGACACUGCGCAAUAUUUGGCACAUGAGCGGCGGCCGCGGCAACUGCGAGAACACGUCCUGCCGGCGGGUGGAGGUGGUGCACACGAACGGGCGAGUGACCAAGGAAGAGAUCAAGAACGACCUGCUUAUAAAGAACAACGACGACGAAGCUGCCUUGGAUUCGCUGCUGCGCGCAAACUUGGCGAUGCAGGGCAUCAAAGAUGUCAAGUCUGUUCGUGUGGUGUCACCCAUCUGAGCCAUCGUGGUGCGAUGUGGCCACCCGAGACCUAUGGCCACGGCCGAUGACGCGCUGCUGAAAUUGCUGUGAUACUCGCCUGUCCCCUUCUCGGUGCAGGCGCCUGAUCAACGGCGUUUUUCUCUUUCCUGCAAGGGGCGACGGUUCUCAAGACGGAUGGUUUCCAUGCACAAUGUUUUACACGUGAUAGCGGUGGCGGCACCGCCAACGCGAGUCACGUCGCUUGCGCAUCACCGGAGAAGUAAUCAAGCGAGGGAGACAAGGAAGCAAAGAGUGGGGGGGGUGAAUGGUGGCGGCUGACAACCGAUGGGUGAUGAUCGUCAAGGACGCCGUCGCUUCGUUGCACUUUUCUUCAUCCGCAGUCGUCUAUCGCUUUCUUUUGUUCUUCGCACAUCGGACCCCCCCCUCCAAAAAAAAAAUGAAUGGCAACGUGUUCUCUCUCAAAGUCCGUUUCACGCCUCCGUGUGUGUAUAUGUGCAGCUGGCCCGCGGUCAAGCGAGGUUGGUGGCGUUACCGGCGUUGGUACCCUCCCCGUGUGCUUGCAUGUGAAAGACGGAGGGAGCGAGAGCGAGAGAGAUGGAGAUGUAUGUACAUUAAAGCACGGGCGCGCAUACACACAUACACAUACACAUGUAUGCGUAUGAGCGUGUAUAUGAUGCUCCCCUAUGGCGUCGUUUUUCCCCUUCUUCCGUCUUGGUGACGAGAUGGACUGUUGAUCGCACGGGAAGCACCGGACCCACGCGCACAAGAAACGGGCAGCACACCCAACAGCAGCAACAAAAAAAAACACAGUAACUGGUGGCGCCUUUUCGCUCUGCGCACACACGGGGAGAAGGGCGACGAUGAAUCAUGAGAGACGAAGAAGUCUCAGUGGCUGCGUGGAUAUGUGCUGUGGAGUAGAGAGAGGUGGAGGCUUAGGGCGAAAGGAUAUGCUUGCGCUACUAACGUCGCGAGUACGGCGGAGGCGGGUCAAGGCACCUUUCACUCGACAGUCCUUCACCGCCUGCGAGCGGGUGCAACAUCCAGCCAUUUUGAGGAGGCGCGCGUACACAUAUCCAUCGUUAGGGACCAGCUUGCAUGGCGGUGCCCACGCGCGAGCGUAAAACGAAACCCCCACGCCUUACGUAUUACCGCUGUCUUUCCAUCUUCUCUGGCCACUCGCCCCCUCAGUUUUACUUGUCGCUGCGCCUCCCUUCCCUUGCAUCCACUCCUCUUUUCCUCCUGCCGACACCCGCGGCAUCGCCUCUCACGGCUUGAGCACGGCCGACACGCGUGCUGCACCGCAAACGGCGAGAG